AUCGCUUCUCGGCCUUUGGCUAAGAUCAAGUGUAGUAUCUGUUCUUAUCAGUUUAAAAGUCUCGUGGAGUUAAAACGAAAUAACUUUUGAAAUUAAAAAAAAAAAAAGAUUAAAUAAGAAUUCCAC
rnacentral:snRNA from 1 species